ACGAACGCUGGCGGCAUGCCUAACACAUGCAAGUCGAACGAGACCUUCGGGUCUAGUGGCGCACGGGUGCGUAACGCGUGGGAACCUGCCCUUAGGUUCGGAAUAACUCCCCGAAAGGGGUGCUGAUACCGGAUAAUGUCUUCGGACCAAAGAUUUAUCGCCUUUGGAUGGGCCCGCGUUGGAUUAGCUAGUUGGUAGGGUAAAAGCCUGCCAAGGCGACGAUCCAUAGCUGGUCUGAGAGGAUGAUCAGCCACACUGGGACUGAGACACGGCCCAGACUCCUACGGGAGGCAGCAGUGGGGAAUAUUGGACAAUGGGCGAAAGCCUGAUCCAGCAAUGCCGCGUGAGUGAUGAAGGCCUUAGGGUUGUAAAGCUCUUUUACCCGGGAUGAUAAUGACAGUACCGGGAGAAUAAGCUCCGGCUAACUCCGUG
rnacentral:rRNA from 1 species